GCGCCCGUAGCUCAGUUGGAUAGAGUGUUGGUUUCCGAAGCCAAAGGUCACAGGUUCGACUCCUGUCGGGCGCG
rfam:Methylovorus glucosetrophus SIP3-4, complete genome.